AAAUAUCUUUGGUCGAACAGACCGUCUUAAAUAAGCUGCUACACAUAUAUAAGUAUUUAAUUCAACAUCGAGGUCACAAACACCUAUUCUGAUAAGAACUCUUAUAGGCAUAAUGCUGUUAUCCCUAGAGGAGCUAGUUCAUUAUUCCRGAGAGGAUCAUGUUUAAAUUUAUACUUAUGAAUAAUAUARUUAAUAUUUACCCCAAAUAAUUAGCGCCGGGGAUAAUGUUAAUUUAUUUGUCCGCUAACAGCUUCAUAGGGUCUUCUCGUCUUAAAAAGCUACUUGGGUAUUUUCACCCAAAUUAAAAUUUCAUGUUCAAGUAUAAAUAAAUUAUUCUAGUGAAUCCAUUCAUUCCAUUUUCCAAUUAAAAAACUAAUUACUAUGCUACCUUAGCACUAGCGCGGCUAUUAAAAUUAAUCAUUGAGCAGGYAAUAUAAAUAGAAAUUAAGAUGUUUUUGAUAGACAGGCCAAAUUAAACUAUGUCGAGUAAUUUUACUAUUAUUAUAUUUUUAACAAUAAUAUAUAAGAUUUAAAUGAUAAAAUAACACAAUAACUACUAAUAUAAAUAUAGUUUACUAACAGAAAUACUAUUUCAGAAGGUUAAAUUGUUUUAGGUUAAGCCGUAAAAAUCAAAACCCAUACGAAUUUUAAUAAACUCUAAUUAAUAUUAUUAUUUCUACUAGAUACAGAAAAAUAGACAGGCUUAAGUUAAAAUUUUAAAACUUGKCUUUUAAAAUCUAUUUUACUCUUUAAGUCAGAUUUAAUCUGAUCAAAUUUAAUAAGAAGCUGCCCAAUCUGAGCAUAUCACCCCUAAAAUAAUAUUUUAUAGUGUUUUAUAACAAGCUUAAGUAUAUUAUUUUUAUUCUCAGCAGUUCGUAAAGGCAGCUUACCUAAAAAGUUCAUUUAUACAUGAUGCAAAAGGKAAUAAGCCUAAAAAUUUAUAAUAUUAACUCAUUAAAACCUAGUUACUAGUCCAUACACUCUUAAAUCUAGAUAUUAAUAACAUUAUUACACAUAUAACUAUUUUUAAUAUAUUAUUAUUCUAUCUCAACCCUGCAGGUAUUAUUAAUUUACAAAAUUAAAAUUUUAAUUUAAAUUAUAAGAUAAAACUAUUAGAAAUCUAAUUCUUUAUAAUGUUUUCAAAACAUCUUUUUCAAUAG
rnacentral:rRNA from 1 species